rnacentral:rRNA from 1 species
CUGCCGCCGGGCGGCUGUUCCGCCCUGUGACUACCUUGUUGCCUCGGCAAAGCUGCUCGGUGCACCUUACCUUGGAACGGCCUACCCUGUACGCCUUACCCUGGAACGGCUUACCCUGCACGGCUGCCGGUGGACUACCAACUCUUGUUAUUUUAUGGUUAUCUGAGCGUCUUAUUUUAAUAAGUCAAAACUUUCAACAACGGAUCUCUUGGUUCUGGCAUCUAUGAAAAACGCAACGAAAUGCGAUAAGUAAUGUGAAUUGCAGAAUUCAGUGAAUCAUCAAAUCUUUGAAAGCACAUUGCGCCCAUUACUAUUCUAGUGGGCGUGCCUGUUCAAGCGUCAUUUCAACCCUUAAACCUAACUUAAUGUUGGGAGCCUAUUGCAUUUGCUAGCUGUAGCUCCUGAAAUACAAGAGCGGAUCUGCGAUAUCCUCCGAGCAUAAUAAAUUUAUAUCUCGCUAUUGACUGGAAGUUGCAUGAGUCUAUUAACCCACUAAAACCCCCCCCAAUUUUAUAAAUUGGUUUUGAACCUCCGCGAUCUAUGGUAAUGAACUCACACUCGACCG